rnacentral:rRNA from 1 species
GACGUAGGGCGCGAGCGUUGUCCGGAUUUAUUGGGCGUAAAGAGCUCGUAGGCGGCUUGUCGCGUCAACUGUGAAAACCCGUGGCUCAACCAUGUGGUCUGCAGUCGAUACGGGCAGGCUAGAAUUCGGUAGGGGAGAGUGGAAUUCCCGGUGGAGCGGUGAAAUGCGUAGAGAUCGGGAAGAACGCCGGCGGCGAAAGCGACUCUCUGGUCGGACCCUGACGCUGAGGCGCGAAAGCUAGGGGAGCAAACGGG